rnacentral:rRNA from 1 species
UACGUAGGGUGCAAGCGUUGUCCGGAAUUAUUGGGCGUAAAGAGCUCGUAGGCGGUCUGUCGCGUCGGAUGUGAAAAUCCAGGGCUUAACCCUGGACCUGCAUUCGAUACGGGCAGACUAGAGUUCGGUAGGGGAGACUGGAAUUCCUGGUGUAGCGGUGAAAUGCGCAGAUAUCAGGAGGAACACCAAUUGCGAAGGCAGCUCGCUGGAACGUAACUGACGCUGAGACGCGAAAGCGUGGGGAGCAAACAGG